rnacentral:rRNA from 1 species
GGUGAACGCUAGCGGUGCGCCUAACACAUGCAAGUCGAGCGGUAGAGUGUUUAGCUUGCUAAAUACUUGAGAGCGGCGAACGGGUGAGUAACAUGUUGAAAUCUGCCCCCAAGUCAGGGAUAGCCAGAAGAAAUUCUGAUUAAUACCGGAUAGUCUCUACGGAGUAAAAAUUUAUUGCUUGGGGAGGAGUCUACAUUCUAUCAGCUAGUUGGUAAGGUAAAAGCUUACCAAGGCGAUGACGGAUAGUUGGUCUGAGAGGAUGACCAGCCACAAUGGAACUGAGACACGGUCCAUACUCCUACGGGAGGCAGCAGUGAGGAAUCUUCCACAAUGGACGAAAGUCUGAUGGAGCGACACCGCGUGAAGGAAGAAGGUUUAACGAUUGUAAACUUCUUUUCUGAAGGAGCAUAAUGAGAGUACUUCAGGAAUAAGGGACGGCUAAUUACG